GACAGGGCAUCCACAACCUCUCUGGGCAGCCUGUUCCAGCACCUCAUCACUCUCUGUAAAGAACUUCCCCUCAAGAAAAAUAGUUAUGAAAGGCAUUUUAUAAUAGUAAGUUUACACCUCCAAAACAGAUGGAGGGAGCCUUCUGUGUCUCCAGAUACACUAAAUAUAAUAAAUAUCAUCUCUAGAAAAUGUAAUAGGAAGUUAAUGUUUAAUGAAUGACAAAGAAUAUAGCAUCAUUCUGAUUAUUCUCAGAAUUACCCAAAACUGGGAAACCAUUCUGGCAACUGCAAAUCUUUAUGUAUUAGCAUAGCUUAAAGAGAAUAAGGCAACAAUUAAUGGAUGGAGAUAAUUUUCUGCAUUAGCAACAUCAAAGCAAAGAGCAAUAUCUACAGUUUAAGAAGUCAUAUAGAAACAUCAGUUAAAUUUUUUAAUUAAGUAAUAUCUAAUGAAUAUUCAAAACAAAACAGUGACAAAAAUAUUCUUCAGAGCAUAAAUGUCACACUUGUAAAAAGGCCAGUUAUAAGUGAGAUUAGUGUUUUACUUCAGAAAAUGUUUUAUCAUUGUAUGUCUGCUAACAUAAAUUAAUAUAAGCCAAGCUAAGCUAAUGUUUUCCUGUUAUACAUUUGUUACAAAAUAUGAUCUUUACCAUUUUACUUAGCCUGCAAUGUAGAAAAAAUCAGUCAAACAUCAUAGACUUCUUUAUUCACAUAAAGACUAAAUGCAUUAGAGUCAUGCAUCAUCCCUAAAUGAGGAUUUUCAGGAGCUUGGCUUCCUUAUGGGAUUGUGGAGAGUGGUUUUUAGAUACAUUUUUGAACUUUUACCUGCAGAAAAACCUGAGUAUUAUGGAACCUUAAUAAUGUUUUAAUACAUUAGUUUUAAACUAUAUGCUGUAGGAGAAAAGCCGUACACAUCCUCAGCUGUCUUCUUAUUGCUUCUUCAGUAACAGCCUAGUAGCCAGUUUGGCCAAGGAGUACAUCUGUGACUGAAUAUUUUGCUAUGCUUUGGAACGUGUGUGAGUUUAUGGAUAUGUCUUAUUUCAUGGUCCACAUUAGUAGAAAAUCUGUCAACUUCUACAGAUGUAGGCCCUUAUUAGAAGAGAUAAUUCAUUGUAACUUCAAAUACAAACAUCAGUAAGGAUAUGUCAGAUGCUUCUAUUGCUGUGUGCACAAACUAAUUAAAUCAUGACAUGUAUUAAAAAUUCUAUUUUUCUUGGAGCAAUGUCAUCAAUAUGGAACAAAAUAUAUGUAUUUAAUGUUUAUUGUUGUUUACUGCCUAUGAAAACAAAUAUUCACUAUUGGAGAAAUAUAGUCUGAUAUGUUUUUUGAUGAUAUUCUGGUUCUUAUUUUUUCCUUUGAUCUCUUUUCAAGUCAGUUGAAAUCCACGUCAGGAAAGGAAUCUUACAAAUUAAUGUCACCUUUGAGAAGUACAUUUUUCUCUUGGUUAUGCCAUUUGACUAUCAAACAAUAUUUAGGCAAGUUUACGGUUGUGAAAAACUGCUGUCUGUAAGGCUGUGUACAAAGCAACAAAAAUCAAUCAAUCAAUCAAUCAAUUAAUUAAUUUAAGAGUAGAAGUUGGGCAGCCCAAUCCUUAAGAGUCCAUGAAGUUUUAAAAGGAGAAGAUAAACAAAAUUGGGCAAAAUGUAAAAAUCAACUGAUAUCAUCUACCUGGGCUUGUGUAAAACUUUUGACACUGUCUUACAUGAUAUCCUUGCCUCUAAAUCGGAGAGCCAUGGAUUUGACAUAUAGAACAUGUCAUAGAUAAGGAAUUGGUGGGAUGGUUCCACUCAAAGAACUUUGGUCAGCAGCUCAGUGUUGAAGUGGCAUUCCUUGAGGACUGGCAACAUGUAUAUAUAACAUCUUUGUUAGUGACAUGGAUGGUGGGACUGAGUAUAUCCUCAGCAGGUUUUCCAGCAACAUCAGGCUACAUGAUGCAGUCAGCAUGCUGGAAGGAAGGAACAGCAUCCGGACAGACCUUGACAGGACAAGAGGAAGCAGGAAAGUGGUGAAUCUGAAAGUAGUAACGUGCUACCAGUUUUGAAGUCCUAACAGCCUAUUCCUGAAUUCUCAUCACCUGUUCUGUGCUGCAGCUCUAGAAACCACAACGGUAUACAGACCAUGCAAUCAAGCAAUGAAGGAAGCUUAUACCUAUGAAAUAAAUAUUAAUUUG